AGAAUUCUCCUAGACAAACACGUGUAGAAAUCCCAGCACUGGAGAGCUGGUGAGAAAGUGGGCAGAUCGACUCUAUUCACAGCUGGGGGAAACUGACCACUUUCACAAAAGGAAGGAUGCUCAGGUAACAUCUAGCCCAAAGGUCACUCAGGCACUAGGAGAGAGUGAAGUAUCCCAUCUUUGGGACACACAAGUCCCACUCAGCAUCCAUUGAAAGCGAAGCACCGAAAGCAUCAAGAUGGUGGCAGGACCUCAUUUUCCCUCUUCUCUAUUCUCUUACUCUUUCUCCAGCAUGGAAGAAACCUUGUGCUGGAUCAGGAGUCAGCAGAUCUGGCGUUCUCACCUAUGACCUUUUCUACCCAGAGCUUCUCUAAGCUUCAGCUUCCAUGACUUUAAAAGGAUUUUUUAAAAGACAAGACAGUGCUCAGGAAAGAACGUUCCAUUUGCUGUUAACUUCAGUGAUUUGCAGAAGAGUCCUCUGCCCUGCUUUUCUGAAAGUUGAACACCUCCCGAGCAGAUGGCAUCAGAGAGAAGCUGGAUGUUUUUCCUCAAAUGGAUUAAGAAAGCAGAAGCUUCUGAGCUUCUGCCAGGGGUAACAAUGCCACUUGUGGGCACCACUGAUUUUUAAAGCACUUCACAUUCAUUAGCUCAUGGAGCCUUUGCAGCAUCCCUGGAAGGCAAGAUGUUGGUGGGUAUUAUUGCCAUUUCAGAGAAGAGAAACAGGGUCAGAGAGGCACCUCAUUCUGUCAUCAAAAGGGUCACUACUGAAAUCUGGAGCACUCACUUGGAGCUCAAGUUUCCCUGGACCAGAGCUGCAUGGCACUAGGACAUUUCUCAUCUGCAACACACACCCAUGCCCACAAACCCUCGUAUACAUAAGCCCACAGCUUGCAUGCGCCCAGCCAUCUGAGUCUGGGACUUUCGUAGGAGUCAAAAUGGAAUUGUGCAACUCCAACCAUGAUGCUGGAUGCUCCUCUCUGUCUCAUCUUGUUUUCCUUCCAAGGUGGGGUAAGUGUGGUGGUCGGUAGAACUGGGGCUUUCUCAUCUUUGGAUGGUCAGGGGCAAAGACCCUGAGUGAGCCGCCCAGCCAUGAGCUGUUCAUUGCAUCUGUCGCAUAACAUUUUGAUAAGACUGUGUGUCUUAUAGAAUCGGAAGCUCAGGCUCAUAUCUGGACAGAUAAGAGAAUGCCUCCCCACCACAGCCCUCUUCUCUGUAGGCUGUAUCUUUUUCUAAUCACUUUGGCAGGUGAAAAUGUUUUUUUCCUCUAAACGAGUCAGAAGGGCUGGGAAUGUGUAACUUGGAAAAGAAGAUGCUCUGAUACCUGUACAUAAAAAAGACAGACUGCCAGUUACCUCAGCCUUACCACCUGUGCUGGGCACCCAUUCACAGCUCCUGAAUGAUUCCAUUAGUGGGGAAUUCUUAGU